rnacentral:SRP_RNA from 1 species
GCCAGGCAUGGUGGCGGAUGCCUGUAGUCCCAGCUGCUUGGGAGGCUGAAGUGGGAGGAUUGCUUGAGCCCAGGAGGUUGAGGCUGCAGUGAGCUAUGAUGGUGCCACUGUACUCCAGCCUGGACGACACAGCAAGAUCCUGUCUCUC